CCCUUAGAUGUUCUGGGCAGCACGCGCGCUACAAUGGUCUUCGCAAACGGAUGCAUUCUCGAAGGAGAAUGCCAAUCUUGGAAUCUAUGCCUUGGUCGGGACAGUUGCUUGCAAUUUUUCGACUCGAACCAGGAAUUCCUUGUAAUCGUGAUUCAUCACAUCACGAUGAAUACGUCCCUGCCCUUUGUACACACCGCCCGUCGCUCCUACCGAUCGAAGAUUUAGGUGAAUUGUUUUGAUCGAUAAGAUUUGACUAUGGUCAACUCUCGUUGUGAAAUUCUGUGAAUCUGACUGUUUAGAGGAAGGAAAAGUCGUAACA
rnacentral:rRNA from 1 species